rnacentral:rRNA from 1 species
CCCGACGACAAGAGUGCUGUGGUCCUACCUGACCCCAUACCGAACUCAGAAGUAAAACGCAGUAACGUCGAUGGUAGUGUGGUG